rnacentral:rRNA from 1 species
AACGAACGCUGGCGGCAGGCUUAACACAUGCAAGUCGAACGCCCCGCAAGGGGAGUGGCAGACGGGUGAGUAACGCGUGGGAAUCUACCCAGUUCUACGGAACAACUGAGGGAAACUUCAGCUAAUACCGUAUACGCCCUACGGGGGAAAGAUUUAUCGGAAUUAGAUGAGCCCGCGUUGGAUUAGCUAGUUGGUGAGGUAACGGCUCACUAAGGCGACGAUUCAUAGCUGGUCUGAGAGGAUGAUCAGCCACACUGGGACUGAGACACGGCCCAGACUCAUACGGGAGGCAGCAGUGGGGAAUAUUGGACAAUGGGCGCAAGCCUGAUCCAGCCAUGCCGCGUGAGUGAUGAAGGCCUUAGGGUUGUAAAGCUCUUUCAGUGGGGACGAUAAUGACGGUACCCACAGAAGAAGCCCCGGCUAACUUCGUGCCAGCCGCCGCCGUAACAC